GCCCCCUCAAAGAUAAAUGACUGUGUGGUAAGAGUUCGUCCAGCCCAGGUGUCUGUUUUCUCCCUGUCAGCCGGCCAAGCAGUGAGUAUCUGUGUGAGCUAGUCUCAUGGUCAUCAUCCAACAUGGCUGCCCACCUUCCACCCACUAAUUGUCUGGUUCCCACAGUUCUGCCUGCCUUCACAAUCUCUGAAAAAUCCCCUCGCUCAGGCUCAUCUAUCAGCCAGUGACCUUGUCAGGGAGCAUCGCAUGAGUAACUUUCCCGCUUCCCUGGGUGGAGUAAAUUGCUUGUUAAUUACUUAUAAGCUGACCCACCCUCCCCAUACUCAUUUGCACACACAGCUACAAGAAACAAAUAAACAAACAAAGUGGAGGUAUUCACUGAGGUGAGACCAUUGUCCACAGUGGUUUAGGUCAUGAUUCAGGCUUGUCUGGAGGCUUUUCUGAUUGUCCAGGCUGUAGAGAUGUAUUCACAGUACAGAAUUCUCACCUUUCUGCCAAUGUGUCAUGCUACGUAUAUUACCCCAUUUAAAUUUACAUCAGCUGAGAGUAUGAAAACUCUGGGAUUACAGCAAAUUCAGGACUGUGCUGAUGUCAAAUACUGAUAUUGCAUUAUGUUAGAAAUAAGCCAUUGCUGUAAUCAUUGAACUCUUGUUAUACAUCAGAUUUAGGACACUUUGUACUGUCCUAAUGGCAUAUCUACUCCUGUAUUUUCUUUUAAUAAAAAGAGCUUACAGCAAGAAAAAAGUUAAUGAACUAGCAAGUCAGACUAUAAAUUUUCUGAUUAUCAGUUUUUGAGAAAAAAAUUCUAAUUUUGGAUUAAUGCAAGACAUGCAAUGAGUUUGGAAAUCCAAAGGCAAGAAUCUGCUGUUUUCCUUUGGCAUGGGGAAGUUAUGUUGGAGGUUUUCUUUUUUUCCCCUAAUUUUUUAUUGGUAAAUACUUGGGAAAUAAUUGGUUAGUUAAGGCCCAGUUGUUGCCCUUUUAAUAACUUCUAAAAAAAAAAAUAAAUAAAUAAAUAAACACCAUCUGGGUACAUGGGUCACACUUACACAUGUUGAUAGUUUGUAUUGACAGCCUUUUAAAAGAAAAAAAAAAGACAUGACCUUAAUAAAAAUGUAAUCCUAUAUGUGAGGUCAUUCUCAUGAGAGAUAUUAAGGAAGACAGUCCUUCUCAUGAGAUAAAAAGUCAUGAUUUGGUAAAAAUGUAAUUAAAUGAUCUUCCUAACAUAGGCUUGACACUGAACAAAAUGGAAGUUGCUGGUUAUACAACAGUGAAGUAGCUGAUUGCUACAUGCUGUAAGCCUCUACACUGGCUUCCAAUUUGAGUUUGGGUUUAUCGUACCCGGACACUGUGUACCUAGAACUGUCUUCAGCUCAUGUGCAUGAUUCAAAAGAGACGAUAACAGAGAUUUGGCAGCUACUUUCUGCACACUCUGCUGAAGCCCUUUACUUUGAUCUUGUAAAAUAAUGAGCCUGAGUUAAAUUUGAGAUAGGAUAUAUAAGGGUAAAAAUAUGAAAUUAUAAGAAAGAAGGCCAGAAUAAUGUGAUAAGAGGUCAACAACAAUAUUAUGAAAAGUUUCGAUUGUGAGGUUGUCAUAUUAUAUCGUAAUAAAUUUAACUUUUUAUCCUAUCAGUAUGACUUUUGAAAGCAUGUUUUUGACUUCCUAUGCCAUAAAUAGAUUUUUGUUCUCUUGACUAUGACCUUUUUUUCCUCAUCAUUAUUCAUUUGAAUACCCUAAAUUAUUCUCUCUAUUGUACGAUUAUGAUUUCCUGUAUCAUAACAUUGACUUGACAGCGCCCAUGAGGAAAUGUCAGAUUCUGUCAAGUGUAGCACCCCUUGUGGACAAAGCAGUCUUUGCUUACUUUGUCCUCAAUAAGCAUAAACAGUGUCAUCUCACAGAAAAUCUUAUCAAACUAACUUUUGACCGUCAAAUUAAUCAUUUAGUGAAUAUUUUUUAACUGUGAGCGACUGCUUGGCGGACACCAUCUCCCUCACACUAGUUUCAUAAUUACAGUAUUAAAAUCAGCAGUUUUAUUGACGAUGUUUUUGUUUGCUCGUAAAAAGGCACCAAUAUGAAUUUGAAUCUAUAAAUAUCAUAAACCUGGUACAGGAGCCAUAAAUACUAUAAAUUUGACAUUUCGUGUAAUAAUAAUGACUCAUGGUCUCAUCAUUUUGAUUUCCAGUAAUCCAAUUUGACUUUUUAUCUUAUUAGUAUGACUCUAUUUUUCAGAUACAUUUUGAAAAUGUACGCCUUUAUUAUGAUUUUCUAAUCAUUUUAAUGUCAAUUUCAUAAAUACUGCCUUCUGAUCUUACAAUAAUGUCUUUUAAUCACAUAGAUUUCUUGAGUUUAUCUUGUAAUCAUAACAUACAAGCUUAUAAAUUUGUCUCUUUAUCCCCUCAAUGAGAGUCUUUGUUUCAUUAUCAUGAUUUCAUAUCUCAUAAUAUUUACUUAUUAGGUUUAUCCUUCUCAUUUCAAGCCAAGUCCUCAUUGAUUUCCAUCAUUUUGCCUCCUUAAAAGGACCUCCAUGAUAUGGGCCCAAACGGCAGACGGAAACAUGAGUAAGUAGCUACUGGCCAAUAGAGGACCAGGUUUUAUUCAUAGGACUUGUUUGAAACCAGAACCAGAGUUAAAUUUAGACUAGAUAUAGCACUUAUGUAUGUAUCAGGUGAUUUCAGUGUGCGAGGACAUGGUAGUGAACAGAUGAGCUGUACACUUUCAUUAGCUGUCAGCAUUUUGCAGCUUCAUCUGCCAAAUGUUUUGAUGUGAUUUUCCUCCACUAUAUUAAUGAGCAGUGCCUAAAGUUUCGGUUGCAUUCUUGUGUGUGUGUGUGUGUGUGUGUGUGUGUGUGUGUGUGUUUUGUGUUUUGUGUGUGUAUGCUUACAACUUAUCUAACUGAAAGCCUGAUCACUGUUAGACCCCUGUGAUCACUUAUCACCUCAACAGAUAGAUAACCAAUCGAUCACGCUGUGCAGCUGCACAGUUUGGACUUACUCUUUCUUUUGUUCAUUCAAAUAGAGUUGAAUUAUUCUUUAACCUGCGCUGCAGUUGUUGCUACUUUGUUAUACUGUAAAAAAUUAGAUGCUUGGUACGUGAAAUACCACUGUUAUCUUUCCACAUCACCUCAUGAGCAGCUCCAUCACUGACGACCACAACAAUCAGUCAAAGCCAGCUCACGUCGGUGGUGUUGAGCUAUCUGAGGUCGUUAAUCCCACUGUGUGGAAUGUGUGUGUGUGUGUGUGCUCUGCUUCAACCUCAAGGCAGCACAGAAAAACAAAAAAAAAAAAACCUUCUGUCUUCCAGGAAUUCUGACGUUCUUGUCUGGAUGGAUCGAGUCACUGCAGCAGAACUGCGUCUCUGUUAAUGAUGGAGGGCCCUCUUGUCAUCAGAGAGUGUUUAUAUUAGGCACACUCACAGGCGGCUGAGGGAAGCAAUAAGAGUUUAAAGGCAUACUAAGG